GAUGAACGCUGGCGGCGUGCCUAACACAUGCAAGUCGAACGAAGCACCUUACCUGAUUCUUCGGAUGAAAGUUUGGUGACUGAGUGGCGGACGGGUGAGUAACGCGUGGGUAACCUGCCCUGUACAGGGGGAUAACAGCUGGAAACGGCUGCUAAUGCCGCAUAAGCGCACGAGGAGACAUCUCCUUGUGUGAAAAACUCCGGUGGUACAGGAUGGGCCCGCGUCUGAUUAGCUGGUUGGCAGGGUAACGGCCUACCAAGGCAACGAUCAGUAGCCGGUCUGAGAGGAUGAACGGCCACAUUGGAACUGAGACACGGUCCAAACUCCUACGGGAGGCAGCAGUGGGGAAUAUUGCACAAUGGGGGAAACCCUGAUGCAGCAACGCCGCGUGAGUGAAGAAGUAUUUCGGUAUGUAAAGCUCUAUCAGCAGGGAAGAUAAUGACGGUACCUGACGAAGAAGCUCCGGCUAAAUACGUG
rnacentral:rRNA from 1 species